rnacentral:rRNA from 1 species
GAAUUUUGCUCAAUGGGCGAAAGCCUGAAGCAGCAACGCCGCGUGAGGGAUGAAGGCCUUAGGGUUGUAAAGCUCUUUUACCCGGGAUGAUAAUGACAGUACCGGGAGAAUAAGCCCCGGCUAACUCCGUGCCAGCAGCCGCGGUAAUACGGAGGGGGCUAGCGUUGUUCGGAAUUACUGGGCGUAAAGCGCGCGUAGGCGGCUUUGUAAGUUAGAGGUGAAAGCCCGGAGCUCAACUCCGGAACUGCCUUUAAGACUGCAUCGCUAGAAUCGUGGAGAGGUGAGUGGAAUUCCGAGUGUAGAGGUGAAAUUCGUAGAUAUUCGGAAGAACACCAGUGGCGAAGGCGACUCACUGGACACGUAUUGACGCUGAGGUGCGAAAGCGUGGGGAGCAAACAGG